CCACCGAAUCAACAGCCGCAGCCAUCAUCGGAGGGCUCCACAGAGCCGGCCUCCUCCUCCUCCGGUACAUGCAGAUAAAUCAGAAUAAGGGCCGACUGAUGCCGGCGAGGACGCCCUGCUCCUGCAGGUUGGCCGUGUCGCAGGCCUCUCGGAGUAGAUCGCCGACGCCCUCUCCACCUUAUUUGGUAACUGAAAUUAUCUUCUCCAUGAGUCUUAGAACUGAAAUCUGGUUUAUAUUCAAAGCUCACAACCGAACAACAAAUUUACUGGUUUCCUCAGUGAGUAAUUGUUUUUUAAUCUUUUGCAGGUUCCAGGAACAUAUUUAGUUUGUGAUAGUUCCCACUCUUUUAUCUCUAAUUAUUAAUUCUGUACUUCUGUAUGUCUUCUUUUGUUGCACAAACUAUGAUUCGCCUAACAUGGCAUGAACGCAUCAUUUUAAAUGGUAGUCAUGAAAUGCAGUGACAACUGAAACCUUCUCAUGCCAUUACUGGAUCUAAUUCAUCAAAUUAGAAACAUGCAGGUAAUCAUAGGUCUAAUAGGAAAACCAAUAGAAGCACCAUAUAAUAUAAGAUCCUCCUCGUACAAUAGAUACAAAAGAAAAUUUGCCCGGGAUCUGAAUUUCACUAGUAGGCUGGGGCUGUGUCCUUGCCCUGUUUGCCUACACAUAUUUGACAUUAGGGCUUAUUUUUAAUACAUGUAAGUCAUGUAUAUAUCUCUUGUAUGUUCAUUCUAUCUUUGUAGGAUCUGAUGCCUUUCUUAUCAAUUGUUUUGUUGAAUUUACAGAUGAAGUACUUUCUUCUUAAAAAAAGGUGAUUAAGAUAUGUUUGACCAGACUACGGUCUAAUCAGAACAAUGGAGCAGGUCAGUGGUGCAAUGGCUAGCUGCCAGGCUUUGAAGUUUGCUGCUCUUAUAAUAAUCGAGGUGUCACACCGAAUUCAGAUGAUGAUCAACUUGCUGGGACUUUUGCCGCGACAGUGUGCAACAAAGGGUAAAAAGGAGAUGUCUUGUAGUACGUUCGAUAGGUUAUAACCGGCCGGUUAGGUAGCUAGCUAACUAAUUUGACCGAGAGACCAUGAGAGUAAGAGAAUUCUGUGGCGGUGGACAAGUUUCAAACAUUGCUGCCUUUGACUUACAAAUUUGAGAACAUCAUUAUUCAUGUUAUCUUGUGUAAUAAAUUGUGGUUUUCUCGGAAUGUUCCGCUCUCGAUGAAUAGUCAGUGUUUCAACCGAUUGGUUUAAACAAAUCUUGUGUAACAAAUACAGAUAGUACUUUUGUUUUUUGAUGUGAUGACUACUAGUACUAAAACUUCUUCGUGGAAA